rnacentral:misc_RNA from 1 species
AUUCUUGGGGACACAAACAUCAAAGAGCAAUUGCCCCAGAACACUAUUUGCAUUGAUGCUAGGGGAAGGUGGUAGAUAAAUAGUUGUUACUUUUCUUCCAUCCUGUAAAGGCUCUGACUCUCUAUUAUUGUGNGGUUGAAGUUGGCACAAAGAAAUGAUCACCUGGUUCAACGGCAACCCUUCUUAAGCUUUGGUUUGAGUAAACUGCUGCUUUCUGGAGGUUGCAGAUUAAUUCAGAAAUCUCAUCAUGGAUACCAUCCAGGCCAUUUCCUGCUCUAAGUUGCUGGAUUCUUCGAGAAUAAACUGAAGCUGCUUUCUCAAGCAAAUUGGUCACAGCAGCCCUGUAUUGGAUAGGAUAAUGCUUGUAAUGACCAAUAUGAGGCGAAACAUUCCACUUCACAAGCUUAACAUCUCCCCCAAGAUCUUGUAGACGUUGAGCAAAUCUGUAGAUACUUCUGUAAGGUGCAAGGUGAUCAGUCUCUGAGAAUAAUACUAGGUAAGGAGCCCCAAAAUCAACUGAAGAAUACAAAGUCUGCCAAUACUCAGCACGCUGGGAAUCAAACCUGGUAAGAUAUAAACCAUCUAGGGCAGAAGUAACUCCUUUUGCAAACCAAGACACAAGUUUUG